UAACACGUGGGUGACCUGUCCCGGAGACCGGGAUACCCCUUCGAAAGGAGGGCUAAUACCGGGUACGGUCCUCUGGCUUGCGAGGCCGGGGGAGGAGAGGAAGCUCGAAAGGGCGACCGCUCGGGGAGGGGCUCGCGGCCUAUCAGCUAGUUGGUAGGGUGAUGGCCUACCAAGGCGAUGACGGGUAGCUGGUCUGAGAGGACGACCAGCCACACGGGGACUGAGACACGGCCCCGACUCAUACGGGAGGCAGCAGUGGGGAAUUUUCCGCAAUGGGCGCAAGCCUGACGGAGUGACGCCGCGUGGGGGACGAAGGCCUUCGGGUUGUAAACCCCUGUCAGGAGGAAAGAAGGGUAGGGCCGUGAAUAGCGGUUCUACUGGACGGUACCUUCAGAGGAAGCCCCGGCCAACUCUGUGCCAGCAGCCGCGG
rnacentral:rRNA from 1 species